rnacentral:rRNA from 1 species
CCUACGGGUGGCAGCAGUGAGGAAUAUUGGUCAAUGGACGAGAGUCUGAACCAGCCAAGUAGCGUGAAGGAUGACUGCCCUAUGGGUUGUAAACUUCUUUUAUAUGGGAAUAAAAUGUUUCACGUGUGGGAUUUUGUAUGUACCAUAUGAAUAAGGAUCGGCUAACUCCGUGCCAGCAGCCGCGGUAAUACGGAGGAUCCGAGCGUUAUCCGGAUUUAUUGGGUUUAAAGGGAGCGUAGGUGGAUUGUUAAGUCAGUUGUGAAAGUUUGCGGCUCAACCGGAAAAUUGCAGUUGAAACUGGCAGUCUUGAGUACAGGAGAGGUGGGCGGAAUUCGUGGUGUAGCGGUGAAAUGCUUAGAUAUCACGAAGAACUCCGAUUGCGAAGGCAGUUCACUGGACUGCAACUGACACUGAGGCUCGAAAGUGUGGGUAUCAAACAGGAUUAGAUACCCCUGUAGUC